rnacentral:rRNA from 1 species
UGAGUGACCUGCCGAUUUGUGGGGGAUAGCCGGGCCAACGCCCGGGUAAUACCGCAUACGCUCUUCUUGGGGCAUCUCUAGAAGAGGAAACCUCCGGGGCAAAUCGAGGGACUCGCGGCCUAUCAGCUAGUUGGCGAGGUAACGGCUCACCAAGGCUACGACGGGUAGCUGGUCUGAGAGGAUGAUCAGCCACACUGGGACUGAGACACGGCCCAGACUCCUACGGGAGGNAG